CGGAGUCGCCCGGACCCCCUCGGGGGCGCGGCCUGGGACAACAUCUGGGCGUAGCGUCACCGCCAGGCCACGCCCUGCGCCGGGCAGGCCCGCGGGGCGCCGCUCGGCAACUGAAAGGAGACUUCCGAUUGGCUGGUGGAGGGCUCCUGCCGCGGGGGCGCGCAGCAGCCUCGCCCCCGCCCCGCCGUGUCCUGGAGCCACCCCGCGGGGCCGCGCUGACGGGGCCGCAGCGCGCAGGGCGGGGGGCGCGGACUCCUCCGCCGGCGGGAAGGCGCACGUCGCUUCCACUGGCUGCUAGAUUCAGUAUAUCAGACACAGAGAAGGUGUAAACAACAGGAGUUCUAUGGAUGUCAGUGGAGUCAUACUGUUUUACAUCACCUCAGGAAGCUCACUAUGAGAACAGAAAAGGUACACUAGAUGACAAUGACAUCAUUUCACAUGGCAAUAUUUUCUUCCUUUCCUGAGUCAACUCCCGAUGCAGAAGGGCUGGAUGGAAACACAGCCAAAUGAAGCUAGGUGAAUUUUGUGUAUGCAGAAGGCUCAUUGAUUCAGUGGUGUCUUCUAAUGAAGCAAGUUGCUUUUCUCCAUAUGUGCUCAGGAAACACAGGCUGUCUCAAUAACUGAGGCUUUCCUUGUCUGUGGUGUCCAGACUGCAUUUUCUGGGAAACUGCCAUGGGAAGAAAAAUCACAUCUCCCCUCUCCUCCUCCUUCUCUCCUACCUCCAGAGGGAAUAUUCUAUUGUUUGUGAAAGGUUACAACGGAAAUGCUGUGAGGACAUGUAGAUUUCAGAAAAAGGAGUCAACUUUCUUCCCCUGGAAGACAGCAGUCCCCAGCAACCUACGGUGUGCUCAUUCUCAUGGUAGGUAACCAGCACUUCAGAGAUAGAAACUGAAGAAUUAAGAACUGUGGCUAAGAUAAGACAAUAAUAUACACAGUGUAUAACCGAAGCGUGAACUGUCAGUCAGCUUUAUUGUGCUCAGGAAGUUUGAAAUUGAACUCCAUAAGAAUGGUCUAAAAUUCUCCAAGUGUUUUUUAAUUCUAGUUGCAGCAAUUUAGACCUAAGAAAGGUGCUGAGCUCUAUAUAGCUAAAUCGAAAAGCUUUUUCAUUUUUGCAAAUAAAUUAUUUUUGCAUGGGACAUAGUCAUCCUGCCCAGGACAAUCAUUGUGGUUUCAUAAAAGGAUCAAGCUUCUUUAGAACUUGAAAAUGUAAAACUUCUUUUUUUUUUUU